rnacentral:rRNA from 1 species
GCAGUGUUUAGCAUUGGGGAUUUAAAGGCUCCGGGGCCUGACGGACUACAUGCAAUAUUUUUUAAGAAAUAUUGGCAUAUCCUAAGAGAUGAGAUCACUCAUGGGGUGCUAUUUGCUAUUAAUUCAAGACAGAUUCCGAAUGAAUGGAAUGACACAACUAUUGUCAUGAUACCCAAGAUUGACAGUCCAGAACUGGUAACUCAAUUCCGUCCCAUAAGCUUGUGUAAUGUUCUUUAUAAAAUCAUCUCUAAAAUGCUUGCACUUCGGUUGAAAAAUAUAUUGCCUGAGAUUAUCUCCCCUACCCAAAGUGCAUUUGUUCCUGGAAGGAUGAUCACGGAUAAUAUCCUUAUAGCUUAUGAAUGUGUGCAUAAAAUAAAGAACAAGAGGGCUGGUCAGACUGGACUAUGUGUGGUUAAAUUGGACACGCACAAGGCAUAUGACAGGGUGGAAUGGUCCUUUUUGCAUGAUAUGAUGGUGAAGUUGGGUUUUCAUGAACAAUGGAUUGAAAUGAUAAUGGCUUGUGUUGGCUCUGUUAGAUACAAAAUAAGGUUUAACUCUCAGGAGACGGAUGUUUUCACCCCGACUAGGGGUAUUAGGCAGGGGGAUCCACUCUCCCCUUACCCUUUUCUCCUUUGUGCAGAAAGUCUUUCUAGUUUAUUGCAGUUUGAAGAAGAAGCUGGUGGCAUAGAGGGAAUUAGAUUGUGUAGAAAUGCACCAUCAGUAUCACACCUUUUAUUCGCGGAUGAUUCUUUGAUUCUCAUGUAAGCAGACGUUUUAAAUGCAGCUUCCUUACAGCAUGUUCUAGAUGCCUACUGUGAAAGCUCGGGACAAUUGGUGAGUUUGGCUAAAUCUAGUAUUUUUUUCAGUCCUAAUACACCUGCAACUUCUAGGACUGAAAUAUGCCAGGAGUUACACAUUGAUAUUGAGGCAUUAUCAGAUAAGUAUCUUGGGCUGCCAGCUAUGGUGGGUGCAGAUAGGAAUGACUGUUUCAGGCAUUUUUAUGACAGAAUAAAAGAAAAACUGAAGGGAUGGAUGGAAAAACAGUUGUCUACUGGAGGGUAAGAGAUAUUACUUAAAUCUGUAGCCCAAGCCAUCCCAGUCUUUGCGAUGUCUGUUUUCAGCCUGCCCAAGGGCCUAUGCAAGGAGAUAACUGAUUUGAUAGCACUUUGGUGGGGGGAUGAUGAGGAACACAAAAGAAUGCACUGGUAUACAUGGUGGAAGCUUUGUUACCCAAAAAGUGAGGGGGGUAUGGGGUUCAGAGAUCUCUAUUCUUUUAAUCCUGCCAUGCUCUCAAAGCAAGUUUGGCGGUUGAUCACUAACCCGGAUUCCUUGUGUGCAAGAGUAUUGAAAGCAAAAUACUUCCCUAAUGAAAGUUUAUUACAAGCUACCCUGAAGAGUGGUGCUUCGUUUACGUGGCAGAGCAUUAUGAAAGGUCUUGAAACAUUUAAGUUGGGGUAUAUCUGGAGGGUUGGUACCGGUGAGAACAUUAACAUCUGGAGCGACCCCUGGAUACCGUCUAGUCCGGACAGGAGAGUUUUAUCAAACCGGGGGCAAACACUGAUAUCACGAGUUCAUGAUCUAAUUGACCCUAUGACUGGUUUUUGGGACGAGGAACUGAUCAGAUCUAUAUUCAUAUCGGUUGAUGUAGACAAGAUCUUGCAAAUUCCCCUCAACUAUGGGGCUUUCGAGGACUUUAUCGCAUGGCACCCGGAUCAUAAAGGGUUUUUCUCUGUGAAAUCAGCAUACAAAGUACAAUGGAUACGAUCUUUCCAGGUACAUGCAAUGGUGAUGGCAUGA